ACAAACAGCUGAAGAUCUGCCUGGACCCCCUACCCCUCUCUUUUUUCCUUGUGGAAACUGUGUAUAAUUUGGAAAGAGCAAGGACAUCCUGGCUCGCAGCUGGCCAGCUCCACCUGCGACCUGGACAGCCUCGCCCCUCCCUGCGGAGCCAGGCGAGUUCACAGGGCUGCCUCCGCUUCUUGCAGCAUGUCUGCUCUCCUGGCCUGGCCUCUCCAGACCUUUCCCUCCACGGGCAGCGAUUUCCAAGGCUCUCAAGACUCCAAACCACGUCGUUUUGGGAGUGAAAAAGUGAAAGCACACAUCGUGUCAUUAGAGCAGCAGGGACCAGCUGCUGGGUCAACACUUCCGAAAACAGCGCUUCCUGGGGAGCGACCGGAGCAUCUCAGAAUCUACGGUUUGACCUCCUGCCAAUUCUCAUGAACGUGCUUCAGAGUUGCACUUAGCCUAGAACAUGGCCUGACCUCUAUGGUAUGAAUAAAUGAGCUCCAUGAAGACAAUAAGAUCUCCUGAAAUUAUACAGACAGCAAAGUAUGUCGCUGUGCUUCCUUGUCUUCCUGUGAUGACCCAUGUGCCAUCUU
rnacentral:lncRNA from 10 species